GAGGAAACCACCACCAUGGCAGUGUUUUUUGGUGAGGAAUUCCUAUUUUAACAUGGCGAAAAGCUGUAUAAAGUUGAUUUAGCGUGAUGUGUCCUCUCUAAAGGGAGAGAUUGCAGUUUUAAAAUUGCAACCUCAUUUCACUUGACUAAGAUGUCCCCUCAUCGAGUCUCUGACACAAGCCACAGGGUCCUCACUUUUGUGCACAAGAGGAGCACUGUCUUGUGUGCUCCAAACAAGCCUACAUUAGCCCUGUCUGUUACUAUGCUAGCAUUACUUAUUCAAAAUAGCGUUACGAUAACACUACUCAUUAUCGGUUUCAGGUUUUGUUUUUUUUUUUUGUAGAUUGUGGUCCAGCUUUUCAUUAUGAGCCUGAGUAUCGGGACAGAUUUGUCUCAAAAUGAUUCACUCAACUAUAUUUGUUUUCUUUCACGUGUUUUUGAGAUCCACAAAUAUGUCAGUGAUUUUCAAGUUUUUGAGAUCCGCAAAUGCUGUAUAUGCGCGAUAUUGACAUGUUUUUUGAAAUCCACAAAUAUACGUGCGAUUUUCAUGUUUUUCAAGUCCACAAAUAUUUGCACAAUUUACAUGUUAAUGUUGUAUGAGCAUUUAUCAUGACUUGUCCUUUGUAAAUAUUCAGUUCCACUUGUGAAUUGUUGAAUGUGCGUUUGUGGAUCAGCGUGCAUGCUCGUUGAUUUUGAAACAAACGUUUUACACAGUUUUAAGGUACUCAGACACACACACACACACACACACACAACAGUUGAAAAUAUUUGCAUGUGUUGAAACGCUAUUCCUUCUCCAUCCGCCAGAAGGCAGUGUUGCUGUUUCCAGUGAGCCGGAAUGAGGCAUCGCCUGUAUCGCUUCUAUAAAUUGGAAAUUGAAACACGGAAAACAUGCUUUUAUCUGGUCUACGCAUUGCAGGAAGCACAGGAUAGUGCCAUCGACUGUCGUCAGCGGGGUCUAAGUGAAGUAAACAAUUCAUUGUGUACAAUGGACUCGAGUUACAUCCUUCUUAAAGGAAACAAAAGGCUGGCGCUCAAGGGAUGCAAUGUGAUUGUGGAUAAAAUUGCCAGAAUCUUCCA